rnacentral:lncRNA from 1 species
UAGAAAAGGUCCGAUCUAAGUCGGAUAAGGUUGGAAACAAACUCGGAAGGCUACGAUAUGCCGGAGUAAGGCCGGAGAUGGUCGGAAACCUCGAGUCGGCGAAGAUUUGAGUGAAGAACUUUGAGGUCUGGCCUCGAACUUUCAAACAUCAGGCACAUGAGGGUGAUAGGAGGUGAGUAUAGGCCGUCCAUGGCCUGAGAAGCCAUGGAUUCCGGCGAGAUUAGGGGUUAAAACGGUAGAAGGUGACUAGGGUUUCGAGAGAGUUUGAG